rnacentral:rRNA from 1 species
GACGUAGGGCGCGAGCGUUGUCCGGAUUUAUUGGGCGUAAAGAGCUCGUAGGCGGCUUGUCGCGUCGACUGUGAAAUCCCGCGGCUCAACCGCGGGUCUGCAGUCGAUACGGGCAGGCUAGAGUUCGGUAGGGGAGACUGGAAUUUCUGGUGUAGCGGUGAAAUGCGCAGAUAUCAGGAGGAACACCGAUGGCGAAGGCAGGUCUCUGGGCCGAUACUGACGCUGAGGAGCGAAAGCGUGGGGAGCGAACAGG